GUCGGUAUCGAUUAGGGGUUAAAUCACUUCGUUGUGGUGUCUCAUUCCGAAGAGCCGCUGGUUCGAUUCCAGCUACCGACA
rnacentral:tRNA from 1 species